rnacentral:rRNA from 1 species
AGAGUUUGAUCCUGGCUCAGGAUGAACGCUAGCGGCAGGCUUAACACAUGCAAGUCGAGGGGCAGCGGGGAGGAAGCUUGCUUUCUCCGCCGGCGACCGGCGCACGGGUGAGUAACACGUAUGCAACCUGCCCCUGUCAGGGGGACAACCCGCCGAAAGGCGGGCUAAACCCGCGUACAUGCCACCGGGGCAUCCCGGAGGCAGGAAAGGCUUCGGCCGGACAGGGAUGGGCAUGCGGCGCAUUAGGCAGUAGGCGGGGUAACGGCCCACCUAACCGACGAUGCGUAGGGGUUCUGAGAGGAAGGUCCCCCACACUGGUACUGAGACACGGACCAGACUCCUACGGGAGGCAGCAGUGAGGAAUAUUGGUCAAUGGUCGGGAGACUGAACCAGCCAAGCCGCGUGAGGGAGGAAGGUACAGAGUAUCGUAAACCUCUUUUGUCAGGGAACAAAGGCGGGGACGUGUCCCCGGAUGAGUGUACCUGAAGAAAAAGCAUCGGCUAACUCCGUGCCAGCAGCCGCGGUAAUACGGAGGAUGCGAGCGUUAUCCGGAUUUAUUGGGUUUAAAGGGUGCGCAGGCGGUCUGUUAAGUCAGCGGUCAAAGCCCGGGGCUCAACCCCGGCCCGCCGUUGAAACUGGCAGUCUCGAGUUGGAGAGAAGUAUGCGGAAUGCGCGGUGUAGCGGUGAAAUGCAUAGAUAUCGCGCAGAACUCCGAUUGCGAAGGCAGCAUGCCGGCUCCACACUGACGCUGAGGCACGAAAGCGUGGGUAUCGAACAGGAUUAGAUACCCUGGUAGUCCACGCAGUAAACGAUGAAUGCUGGCUGUCCGGGGGGACUGACCCCUGGGUGGCGAAGCGAAAGCGAUAAGCAUUCCACCUGGGGAGUACGCCGGCAACGGUGAAACUCUAAGGAAUUGACGGGGGCCCGCACAAGCGGAGGAACAUGUGGUUUAAUUCGAUGAUACGCGAGGAACCUUACCCGGGCUCAAACGGGGAGUGGCGCAGGCAGAGACGCCUGUUUCCCACGGGACACUCCCCGAGGUGCUGCAUGGUUGUCGUCAGCUCGUGCCGUGAGGUGUCGGCUUAAGUGCCAUAACGAGCGCAACCCCCGCGUGCAGUUGCUAACAGUCAACGCUGAGGACUCUGCACGGACUGCCGGCGCAAGCCGCGAGGAAGGCGGGGAUGACGUCAAAUCAGCACGGCCCUUACGUCCGGGGCGACACACGUGUUACAAUGGGUGGUACAGCGGGAAGCCAGGCGGCGACGCCGAGCGGAACCCGAAAUCCACUCUCAGUUCGGAUCGGAGUCUGCAACCCGACUCCGUGAAGCUGGAUUCGCUAGUAAUCGCGCAUCAGCCAUGGCGCGGUGAAUACGUUCCCGGGCCUUGCACACACCGCCCGUCA